rnacentral:rRNA from 1 species
CGGGGGCGGGCGUGCUAUACAUGCAAGUCGAACGCUUUGUGGUUCAACUGAUUUGAAGAGCUUGCUCAGAUAUGACGAUGGACAUUGCAAAGAGUGGCGAACGGGUGAGUAACACGUGGGAAACCUACCUCUUAGCAGGGGAUAACAUUUGGAAACAGAUGCUAAUACCGUAUAACAAUGACAACCGCAUGGUUGUUAUUUAAAAGAUGGUUCUGCUAUCACUAAGAGAUGGUCCCGCGGUGCAUUAGCUAGUUGGUAAGGUAAUGGCUUACCAAGGCGAUGAUGCAUAGCCGAGUUGAGAGACUGAUCGGCCACAAUGGGACUGAGACACGGCCCAUACUCCUACGGGAGGCAGCAGUAGGGAAUCUUCCACAAUGGGCGAAAGCCUGAUGGAGCAACGCCGCGUGUGUGAUGAAGGGUUUCGGCUCGUAAAACACUGUUGUAAGAGAAGAAUGACAUUGAGAGUAACUGUUCAAUGUGUGACGGUAUCUUACCAGAAAGGAACGGCUAAAUACGUGCCAGCAGCCGCGGUAAUACGUAUGUUCCAAGCGUUAUCCGGAUUUAUUGGGCGUAAAGCGAGCGCAGACGGUUAUUUAAGUCUGAAGUGAAAGCCCUCAGCUCAACUGAGGAAUUGCUUUGGAAACUGGAUGACUUGAGUGCAGUAGAGGAAAGUGGAACUCCAUGUGUAGCGGUGAAAUGCGUAGAUAUAUGGAAGAACACCAGUGGCGAAGGCGGCUUUCUGGACUGUAACUGACGUUGAGGCUCGAAAGUGUGGGUAGCAAACAGGAUUAGAUACCCUGGUAGUCCACACCGUAAACGAUGAGUGCUAGGUGUUUGAGGGUUUCCGCCCUUAAGUGCCGCAGCUAACGCAUUAAGCACUCCGCCUGGGGAGUACGACCGCAAGGUUGAAACUCAAAGGAAUUGACGGGGACCCGCACAAGCGGUGGAGCAUGUGGUUUAAUUCGAAGCAACGCGAAGAACCUUACCAGGUCUUGACAUCCCUUGACAACUCCAGAGAUGGAGCGUUCCCUUCGGGGACAAGGUGACAGGUGGUGCAUGGUUGUCGUCAGCUCGUGUCGUGAGAUGUUGGGUUAAGUCCCGCAACGAGCGCAACCCUUAUUACUAGUUGCCAGCAUUCAGUUGGGCACUCUAGUGAGACUGCCGGUGACAAACCGGAGGAAGGUGGGGAUGACGUCAAAUCAUCAUGCCCCUUAUGACCUGGGCUACACACGUGCUACAAUGGCGUAUACAACGAGUUGCCAACCCGCGAGGGUGAGCUAAUCUCUUAAAGUACGUCUCAGUUCGGAUUGUAGGCUGCAACUCGCCUACAUGAAGUCGGAAUCGCUAGUAAUCGCGGAUCAGCACGCCGCGGUGAAUACGUUCCCGGGUCUUGUACACACCGCCCGUCACACCAUGAGAGUUUGUAACACCCAAAGCCGGUGGGGUAACCUUCGGGAGCCAGCCGUCUAAGGUGACCAGAU